rnacentral:rRNA from 1 species
UGGGGAAUUUUGGACAAUGGGGGAAACCCUGAUCCAGCCAUCCCGCGUGUGCGAUGAAGGCCUUCGGGUUGUAAAGCACUUUUGGCAGGAAAGAAACGUCAUGGGUUAAUACCCCGUGAAACUGACGGUACCUGCAGAAUAAGCACCGGCUAACUACGUGCCAGCAGCCGCGGUAAUACGUAGGGUGCAAGCGUUAAUCGGAAUUACUGGGCGUAAAGCGUGCGCAGGCGGUUCGGAAAGAAAGAUGUGAAAUCCCAGAGCUCAACUUUGGAACUGCAUUUUUAACUACCGGGCUAGAGUGUGUGAGAGGGGGGUGGAAUUCCGCGUGUAGCAGUGAGAUGCGUAGAUAUGCGUAGGAACACCGAAGGCGAAGGCAGCCUCCUGGGAUAACACUGACGCUCAUGCAGGAAAGCGUGGGGAGAAAACAGG